UAUGUAUACCAAAACUAAAAUGAUUAAGUAAAAAAUCCACCCAAACACCCUAUUAUUGUAGGCAGGUUGCACUGAUAGUAACGCCACUUUAUCUUAUUAUCUCUGUUGCCGAAAUUAACUCCGGUGACUGUAUCUCUGCUCAGUGCUCACUUCGUCCGCCGACGUCUAAUUUCUCUGAUUCCUACUUCCAUAGUUCCAUUUCACAAUUUCUAAUUAGGGUUCCUGGCUGGCUGACUUCCUUCCUCCUCUUGCUGGCUGCUGCGCCUGCUGCCUAAUGCCGAGUGCCGAGUGCCGACGCCUUCUUCCUCUUCCGCCGCUCGUCGCCUCAACGCCUCGUACUCUAUCGUUCUUCCUCAGGUUACCAGAUAUGCAAGAAGUCCUUGCAGAAAAACCAAUAUCUGAAGCUAAAGGUGAAAAAGGUGAAUCUGCAAACUUGCAGGUAUUUUCAUCUCUUCUUGAUUCGCGUAAAUGUUAUUGUCGUUGUUCAUCAAAUUUCAAAGUAAGCGAUUUAAACUGUUGAAGAUUGUCUUCCCAUUAAAUCUACUAAAUAGAUGUUGUACACUAUGUUGGUGGUCUACCCCUGCAAAAUGGUCUUGGCUACUGAAAUUGUGUUGCUAAAACUGCUAAACCAUGCAUUUCUUCUGUCUCAAUUUAUUUUCUUUUUCUAAAAGAUCAAGGGUCUACAAGUUAUGAAUGCUAACAUUUUUCUGUUUCUAUGUGAACCUAUAUAAAGAUCUCCAAGUUUGCCCUGCUAAUGCAGGAUGCUUUGUCUUGGUAGCAUUGAUCCUCUCUUUUCUCAUAGCUUCUCAGCAGCUCAGAUACUAUACCAAACCAGCAGUGAGUAAUCACUCUAUGUAGACAUGGAGAAUUAAAAUGCGCGCACUAUUUGUUUUGAACAUGUUUAAACUGACUGCUUAUAGCGAUUGUAUAAAGUAGUGCUCCUUCCAUUCUUCAAACUUAAAGCUGAUGGAAAGCGUACUCAUGAAUAACUUCUAACUUCCCAUGAUAUAUAAAGUUUCUAAAUUAGUAACUUCAAAUUCCCACAAGACUUAAACAAAUUGGUUUUCUGUCUUCUCCAGAUUCAUUUAUCCUGUUUUUUUUUGGUUCAUCGCAUUAAAUUGCUUUUUUCUGUAAAGAUCAUCUCGAUUUUAACUUCCGGUGAUUAAUUUCGUUUCAAUAAUUAUUAGUUUCUUUUAUUUGGGGUUAAAAUUUGGCACCAUGUAGAAAUGGGAGGAAGCAGUGAUAUUUAAUUUUUGGCACCAUGUAGAAAUGAAAGGAAGCAGUGUUAUCUAAGAGAAUACUCUUACCUGGAAAUAGUUAUCUUUAUGAUUAUCUUAGGGUACUCUCUUAGUUGGUUUACUUUAAAUUGUUUUUCUUUCUGCUUGUGUUAAUUAUUUUGCAAAUAAAGCUGGUUAACUCUGUCUACAAAGGUCUCCUACCAGUCCAUGUUGUUCUACUGCAUAAGCUGUUUAGAUGAGGUGCCUAUUGAUCUCACUUUAUCUAGACAAUUCCAGUCAUCCUCCCUACCCAACUUCUUUGAUGGAUUUCAUGAAUCUGCAAAGCAAAAGCUAAAAGUGAUGAGAAGGAAAAGGCUCUGGUUUUUGCUCAAUUUAGAAACAGAAAGAGAGAGGAAAGAAAAUUUAUUACUUAUUUUUGUUCGAAUUGAUACUUGCAGUUUGUGUUUCUGUCAUUGUUGUUGUCUGCUUUAUACGAGCAUAACAGAAAUAUGUGCCAUACGCAUUUUCACAAUAUUAUUUGUCCAAAGUGUUGGGCCCGGGCUUGCACGGGCCAAUCCCAUCUAGUAAUAAUAUAAUAGUGUUUCUUAUUUUUGGGGCCUUAAAUAUUUGGGGGCCUAAGGCAAGGGCUUCACUUGCCUUACCCUAGAGCCGCCCUUGUUGAAUGAUGUGAUUAGGUCUUGUAAGUGACUGGUUAUUUGAUGAGAUGAGCUGCGUUCGCAUAAACAGUUGCCAUCCUGCCUCCAACUUCAAUGCUUCCUUUCCAUCACUCACUGCUCCAAAAAGGACUUCAAAACUGACGACACUAUCUUCAACUUAUCUGGGCACAAGACUCCCGAAAACCUCCCUUAUUGCGAAAGUAGUUGUAUACAGACCGCAGCUGUGCAGAACUGUAUGCUUAUUUGGUGGCAAGGGGAAGGCAAGCAAUGACAAUGAGGUAACUUUCUUUUGGAAGAUCAUUCAUUUUAUAUGUGUGUUGAUUAAUUUUAAUAUCUUUACUCGGAGGGAAUAACUAGCGGGGAACAAAGAAACCAUGAAACCGCCCAAAUUGUCCAAAAUAAACCAAAGCAAGUCGCCACAGGUUGAUGGUUUCUUUUAGUGGUUGAGUUUGUUAUUUUCAAACUUAUGAAAUGCUUUAGGUUUGUUUUAUUUGUAAACAUAAACAAUUGCGCCUUAAUCUUAAGCUAGUUAGGGUCAGUUUUAUGAAUCUUCAAUAUUCUCCAUUC